CAUGCAAGUCGAACGGUAACAGUCCUUCGGGAGCUGACGAGUGGCGCACGGGUGAGUAACGCGUGGAUAUCUGCCUAUGAGUGGGGGACAACUUUCGGAAACGGAAGCUAAUACCGCAUACACUUUACGGAGUAAAGCAGGGGACCUUCGGGCCUUGUGCUCAUAGAUGAGUCCGCGUCAGAUUAGCUAGUUGGUAGGGUAAAAGCCUACCAAGGCGAUGAUCUGUAACUGGUUUGAGAGGAUGAUCAGUCACACUGGAACUGAGACACGGUCCAGACUUCUACGGAAGGCAGCAGUGGGGAAUUUUGCACAAUGGGCGCAAGCCUGAUGCAGCGAUGCCGCGUGUGGGAAGAAGGCUUUAGGGUUGUAAACCACUUUCAAUUGGGAAGAAGAGAUGAGCGUUAAUAACGCUCUGAUUUGACGGUACCUUUAGAAGAAGCACCGGCUAAUUUCGUGCCAGCAGCCGCGGUAAUACGAAAGGUGCAAGCGUUGUUCGGAUUUACUGGGCGUAAAGAGAUCGUAGGUGGUUUGUUAAGUUGGAUGUGAAAUCCCGGGGCUCAACCUCGGAACUGCAUCCAAAACUGACGGACUUGAGUUUGGGAGGGGUAAGCGGAAUUCCGUGUGUAGCAGUGAAAUGCGUAGAUAUACGGAGGAACACCUGAGGCGAAGGCGGCUUACUGGACCAAUACUGACACUGAGGAUCGAAAGCGUGGGUAGCAAACAGGAUUAGAUACCCUGGUAGUCCACGCCCUAAACGAUGUCAACUAGCCGUUGCGGGUAUCGACCCCUGCAGUGGCGCAGCUAACGCGAUAAGUUGACCGCCUGGGGAGUACGGUCGC
rnacentral:rRNA from 1 species